AAAAAGGACUUCUGUUGUGAGUGGCACAUGUAGGGCAGCUCCAUUGCUCUUCUUGCAGAAUCGACAUCAAGAGAUUUCAGAAGCAUAAGUUUUUGGUACCUGUGCAACUAGUGAUCAUUGGUCCCAGUGUCCCC
rnacentral:snRNA from 1 species